GAUUGGAGAAGAUCAAUUUGGAGUUUUCUUAAAUUAAAAAACAAUUAUAAUAAUUAUGAAUACUUUUAAAAUAUCAAUACAGAUUCAUCAGACGCCACAGCAACAUCAUCAGCAGCAACAACAACAACAAACACAACCUCAAAUGAUAACAGUAGUUAGCCCCAACAGUUCUGCAUUGUUAACCGUAACAUCUAAUGAUAACAACUCAGGGAAUAUGUAGACCACAAUUUUCUUAUCGGUAAGUUU